GAUGAACGCUAGCGGCAGGCUUAAUACAUGCAAGUCGAGGGGCAGCGGCGGGUAGCAAUACCUGGCGGCGACCGGCAAACGGGUGCGGAACACGUACAGAACCUUCCUUUAAGCGGGGGAUAGCCCAUAGAAAUGUGGAUUAAUACCCCAUAGUAAUAUUAGUUGGCAUCAAUUGAUAUUUAAAGAUUUAUCACUUAAAGAUGGCUGUGCGGCUGAUUAGGUAGUUGGUGUGGGAACGGCCCACCAAGCCAGCGAUCAGUAACUGGUGUGAGAGCACGGACCAGUCACACGGGCACUGA
rnacentral:rRNA from 1 species